AUCACAUGGGAGUCAUGACUUUUCAUGCCAGAGAUAUUAUCAUCGUUGUUCCCAAUACAUUACGAUACAUUUGAAGCGUAUGCAUCAGAAAACUUUACGGUUUUAAACCAUCCACAGAAAUUCUUCUUUUCCUCACUAAACAGCGAAUAAAUGUAGGUGGCAUAAAAAAUCUAUCACCUCGAUGAAUUAAAUACAACUC
rnacentral:lncRNA from 1 species